rnacentral:rRNA from 4 species
UUUGAUCAUGGCUCAGAUUGAACGCUGGCGGCAUGCCUUACACAUGCAAGUCGAACGGUAACAGGUCUUCGGACGCUGACGAGUGGCGAACGGGUGAGUAAUACAUCGGAACGUGCCCAGUCGUGGGGGAUAACUACUCGAAAGAGUAGCUAAUACCGCAUACGAUCUGAGGAUGAAAGCGGGGGACCUUCGGGCCUCGCGCGAUUGGAGCGGCCGAUGGCAGAUUAGGUAGUUGGUGGGAUAAAAGCUUACCAAGCCGACGAUCUGUAGCUGGUCUGAGAGGACGACCAGCCACACUGGGACUGAGACACGGCCCAGACUCCUACGGGAGGCAGCAGUGGGGAAUUUUGGACAAUGGGCGAAAGCCUGAUCCAGCAAUGCCGCGUGCAGGAUGAAGGCCUUCGGGUUGUAAACUGCUUUUGUACGGAACGAAAAAGCUCCUUCUAAUACAGGGGGCCCAUGACGGUACCGUAAGAAUAAGCACCGGCUAACUACGUGCCAGCAGCCGCGGUAAUACGUAGGGUGCGAGCGUUAAUCGGAAUUACUGGGCGUAAAGCGUGCGCAGGCGGUUAUGUAAGACAGAUGUGAAAUCCCCGGGCUCAACCUGGGAACUGCAUUUGUGACUGCAUGGCUAGAGUACGGUAGAGGGGGAUGGAAUUCCGCGUGUAGCAGUGAAAUGCGUAGAUAUGCGGAGGAACACCGAUGGCGAAGGCAAUCCCCUGGACCUGUACUGACGCUCAUGCACGAAAGC